rnacentral:tRNA from 2 species
GGAGAGGUGGCCGAGCGGUUGAAGGCGCACGCCUGGAAAGUGUGUAUACGGCAACGUAUCGAGGGUUCGAAUCCCUCUCUCUCCGCCA